UACGAAGGGGGCUAGCGUUGUUCGGAAUUACUGGGCGUAAAGCGUAUGCAGGCGGAUCGUUAAGUCGGGGGUGAAAUCCCGAGGCUCAACCUCGGAACUGCCUUCGAUACUGGCGACCUUCGAGUCCGGGAGAGGUGAGUGGAACUCCGAGUGUAGAGGUGAAAUUCGUAGAUAUUCGCAAGAACACCAGUGGCGAAGGCGGCUUACUGGUCCGGUUCUGACGCUGAGGCGCGAAAGCGUGGGGAGCAAACAGG
rnacentral:rRNA from 1 species